rnacentral:rRNA from 1 species
GUGUCAGCCGCCGCGGUAAUACCGGCAGCCCGAGUGAUGGCCGAUUUUAUUGGGCCUAAAGCGUCCGUAGCUGGCCAUGCAAGUCCAUCGGGAAAUCCACCUGCCCAACAGGUGGGCGCCCGGUAGAAACUGCGUGGCUUGGGACCGGAAGGCGCGACGGGUACGUCCGGGGUAGGAGUGAAAUCCCGUAAUCCUGGACGGACCGCCGAUGGCGAAAGCACGUCGCGAGAACGGAUCCGACAGUGAGGGACGAAAGCCAGGGUCUCGAACCGGAUUAGAUACCCCCGUAGUCC